AGCUUUGCGCAGUGGCAGUAUCGUAGCCAAUGAGGUUUAUCCGAGGCGCGAUUAUUGCUAAUUGUUUCUUUGAAUCCUUAAUAACUAGCAGAGUAGGCAUUUUCAUAUUAGUUGCUGUUUUUAAGGCUCUUAACACAUUUGUUGGGC